rnacentral:rRNA from 1 species
GUACCAGCACCCCGAGUGGUCGGGACGAUUAUUGGGGCCUAAAGCAUCCGUAGCCGGUCUUGCAAGUCUUCCGUUAAAUCCACCUGACUUAACAGAUGGGCUGCGGAAGAUACUACAAGACUAGGAGGCGGGAGAGGCAAGCGGUACUCAGUGGGUAGGGGUAAAAUCCUCUGAUCCAUUGAAGACCACCAGUGGCGAAGGCGGCUUGCCAGAACGCACUCGACGGUGG